rnacentral:tRNA from 1 species
GGAUCAAUGCCGCACAGGCAACGGUAGCCCUCUCACGGCAAUGACCUGGGUUCGAAUCCCAGCCGGAGCA